AGCGUAGGUGGCUUGAUAAGUCAGAUGUGAAAGCCCCGGGCUUAACCUGGGAACGGCAUCUGAUACUGUUAGGCUAGAGUAGGUGAGAGGAAGGUAGAAUUCCAGGUGUAGCGGUGAAAUGCGUAGAGAUCUGGAGGAAUACCGAUGGCGAAGGCAGCCUUCUGGCAUCAUACUGACACUGAGGUUCGAAAGCGUGGGUAGCAAACAGGAUUAGAUACCCUGGUAGUCCACGCCGUAAACGAUGUCUACUAGUCGUUGGGUCCCUUGAGGACUUAGUGACGCAGCUAACGCAAUAAGUAGACCGCCUGGGGAGUACGGCCGCAAGGUUAAAACUCAAAUGAAUUGACGGGGGCCCGCACAAGCGGUGGAGCAUGUGGUUUAAUUCGAUGCAACGCGAAGAACCUUACCUGGUCUUGACAUAUCUAGAAUCCUGCAGAGAUGCGGGAGUGCCUUCGGGAAUUAGAAUACAGGUGCUGCAUGGCUGUCGUCAGCUCGUGUCGUGAGAUGUUGGGUUAAGUCCCGCAACGAGCGCAACCCUUGUCCUUAGUUACCAGCGGUUUGGCCGGGAACUCUAAGGAUACUGCCAGUGACAAACUGGAGGAAGGCGGGGACGACGUCAAGUCAUCAUGGCCCUUACGACCAGGGCUACACACGUGCUACAAUGGUAGGUACAGAGGGCAGCUACACAGCGAUGUGAUGCGAAUCUCAAAAAGCCUAUCGUAGUCCAGAUUGGAGUCUGCAACUCGACUCCAUGAAGUAGGAAUCGCUAGUA
rnacentral:rRNA from 1 species